CUGAAUCCCGUUCUGCUGGCGGCCAUCGUUUUUUUUAAAGAAAAUAACAGAUCAGUUAUGAGUUUCUGAGAAUUACAACUGCUCCACUUCAAGCAAGAUUGCUGGUUUCCUUGGACAAGCAACACUACAAACUCAUUGAGAGAAGAACAGAGAUAUAAUCUUCAUCUUCAAGUUCUUGAUCUGAGCCUGGAGGUGAAUGUAUGAAGAGAGUAUCUCCUGAAAUGUCUUAUGGUGUAUUUAGUGGAAGAAGUGGACCAACUGUUUAAACACUGGUUGUUCAGAAAGGUGAAGCUCAGGCUGAACUUGAGAGGUGCACGAUGGCCCUGUUUGCCCUCAGGGAGGAAGAGGACUGUCUUCAGCCACCACAGGAAGUCAGUCGCACAUGAAUGUUCCAUGUUUGGCCUUAUCUAUGCGUUAAACUUGAGCUAUCCUGGUGAGCUCAAACACACAUUUGUGGCCCGGCAGAAAAUAUUUAGGGAACGUAUUCUAUAUUGGCAUUAAAAUAUUAAAUUUUGGUCACACUAUUUGUCAAACAAUUGUCAGAUUUUAACA